GCCCCAGUGGCCUAAUGGAUAAGGCACUGGCCUCCUAAGCCAGGGAUUGUGGGUUCGAGUUCCAUGUGGGAUG
rfam:Danio rerio chromosome 22, GRCz11 reference primary assembly.